rnacentral:rRNA from 1 species
UACAGAGGUCCCAAGCGUUGUCCGGAUUUAUUGGGCGUAAAGAGCUCGUAGGCGGCUUGGCAAGUCGGGUGUGAAAACUCCAGGCUCAACCUGGAGAUGCCACUCGAGACUGCUAUGGCUAGAGUCCGGUAGGGGACCACGGAAUUCCGUGGUGUAGCGGUGAAAUGCGCAGAUAUCAGGAGGAACACCGGUGGCGAAGGCGGUGGUCUGGGCCGGCACUGGACGCUGGAGGAGCGAAAGCGUGGGGAGCAAACAGG